rnacentral:lncRNA from 1 species
AUCCCUUUGCUCUCAAACUCCCCGAUGCAAUGCCUUCUGAUUUCAACAGAAAAGCAAGAGGCUCCAGGCACCCCAUUCAGGGACUGCCACCAAAGUACCCGCAAAUCCUUCAUGAAAGGGGAGACAUUGACACAUUCUUUUUUUAUUCUCUGGCAUGGAGAUGAACAUACUUGGUAUCAUCCACUCUCCUGCACUGCUGGCUCAGUCACCAGCCUUUUCAGGCACGGGGUCUGCAACCUCUCUCAUGGUUUGUGCCAUCUCUUGAGUCAGGAGCCACAGACCUCAUCCAGGACUUACAGCCUGACAGAUUAAGGAGUCCGAUAAAUCCACACAUUCUGAGUUGUUAUGCUGGGCAAAAGCCAUGCCCAUCCACAAGCCAGACUCUUGGCCUCCACUGGAAGCUUUGGAACUUUAUUCCCAUCAAACACUGACCUAAUCCUUGCACUGAGACUGCUAUUUACAUUAAAAUUGGUCACAUAAUGAAAAAAAAA